GAAGUCGAAGUCGGGGAAACCGUUUAAAACGAACGUUUGAACCAUUACCUCGGUUUGUCAGUACUGUUAGAAAACAGUAUUACCGAAGAAGCCCGUGUGCUAAAACAAAAGUUGAAGCUGCUUUUUUGUUGAACACGAGUGAGCCUGGACGCGGAACAAGAGACCUGCACAAGAAUCUGCAGUGACGGGGGGUCCCCGAUUCGACGGGAUCACCCGCGAUCAGAGAGACACUGUCUAUGAUCACAGAGACAUAGUCCAUGAUUGCAGAGACUUUGUCCAUAAUCUCAGAGACAUUGUCAGCAAUCACACAGAGUCUUCAUACAAUGAAGAAGUUCUUUGAGACCAGGACAGAGGCCUCCAGGUGUCACCACUUCACCAUGUAACCGAGACGUCAUCCAUGAUUGGAGAGACAUUGUUGAGGAUGAGAGAGACAUUGUCCAUGAUCAGAGACAUUAUCCAUGACUCUUAGAGACCUGCGCUAGAAUUGGCGGUGACGGGGGUCCCCGAUUCAACAGCACAGAGACAUUGUUCAUAAUCUCAGAGACGUUGUCCACAAUCAUAGAGAGUCUUCAUACAAUGAAGUUCUUGGAGACCAGGACAGAGGCCUCCAGUCAGCUCGCUUCCCGAUUGGUUAACUCCCUGUUCCAUGUGACAAUCCACAGACAGCAUGCUCGGCACUCCUUGGUGUUCUCCCCACACAACAGGAUUUUCACUCAUAAAUAUUGAACAUGUUUAAUAUUUAUCGGGGCGGACCUGAUCGUCUUCGGAGCAGAUCGGAUUCAAACUUUAACCAUAAAGUCACAGAGAGAAAAGACAGACAUGAAGCCAUUUUCAGAAGGUGAUGUGGUCUUCUCCUCCUGCAGAGAUAGAACAUGUCAAUCACAGAAAC